CUUGGUCAUUUAGAGGAAGUAAACGCGGAUCAAACCGCGAACUUCUAAACCUUUGACGAUUGACUCAUGUUGCCUCGGCGGGUUCUCCCGCCAGAGGAUACAUUAAAACUCCUGUUUUAACGGUGUUGUCUGAGCUACAAGCAACGAAUCAAAACUUUCAACAACGGAUCUCUUGGUUCUGGCAUCGAUGAAGAACGCAGCGAAAUGCGAUAAGUAGUGUGAAUUGCAGAAUUCAGUGAAUCAUCGAAUCUUUGAACGCACAUUGCGCCCCUUGGUAUCCCGAGGGGCAUGCCUGUUCGAGCGUCAUUUCACCACUCAAGCCUGGCUUGGUGUUGGGCGACGUCCCCUUUAGGGACGCGCCUCGAAACGCUCGGCGGCGUGGCACCGGCUUUAAGCGUAGCAGAAUCUUUCGCUUUGAAAGUCGGGGCCCCGUCUGCCGGAAGACCUACUCGCAAGGUUGACCUCGGAUCAGGCAGGGAUACCCGCUGAACUUAAGCAUAUCAAUAAGCGGAG
rnacentral:rRNA from 1 species